rnacentral:misc_RNA from 1 species
CCAAACUUGGUCAUUUAGAGGAAGUAAAAGUCGUAACAAGGUUUCCGUAGGUGAACCUGCGGAAGGAUCAUUACAAAUCCAUCCACGUCUCGCUCCCGAGACCACGUUGAACUGUUCUGCGUGCAGGCACGCAUGGCGGCGACGGCGAGCGGGCAGCAGACGACGAGGGAGGAGCAGGAGAGGUUGACGUACGCGCACGUCGCACCACUUGGCAUAAGGCGCUCGUCGCCGUACCUCGUGCGUGCGUGCGUGCGUGCGUGCGUGCGUGCGUGCGUGCGUCUACCAUCUCCGUCCUCUCUCGCUCGCUUGCCCGUCUCUCCGAACGCACAUGCGUGCCUCUCGCAUAUCUCAACUAGUUAUCUCUUGUUGAACGAGUGUAUUGUCGAGCAUCCUCCUUGACGGAGAGAUGUCUUAACAAAGUACAACUUAUAACAAUGGAUCUCUAGGCUCUUGCAUCGAUGAAGAACGCAGC